AUACGGGGGGUGCAAGCGUUACUCGGGAAUCAUUGGGCGUAAAGGGCGUGUAGGCGGCCUGAUCAGUCAGAUGUGAAAGCCCGGGGCUCAACCCCGGAAGAGCAUUUGAUACUGUCAGGCUUGAGUAUGGGAGAGGAAAGUGGAAUUCCUGGUGUAGAGGUGAAAUUCGUAGAUAUCAGGAGGAACACCGGUGGCGAAGGCGACUUUCUGGACCAAUACUGACGCUGAGGCGCGAAGGCGUGGGGAGC
rnacentral:rRNA from 1 species